rnacentral:rRNA from 1 species
GAUGAACGCUGGCGGCGUGCUUAACACAUGCAAGUCGAACGAUGAAGCCCAGCUUGCUGGGUGGAUUAGUGGCGAACGGGUGAGUAACACGUGAGUAACCUGCCCUUGACUCUGGGAUAAGCCCGGGAAACUGGGUCUAAUACCGGAUAGGAGCGCCUGUCGCAUGACGGGUGUUGGAAAGAUUUUUCGGUCAUGGAUGGACUCGCGGCCUAUCAGCUUGUUGGUGAGGUAAUGGCUCACCAAGGCGACGACGGGUAGCCGGCCUGAGAGGGUGACCGGCCACACUGGGACUGAGACACGGCCCAGACUCCUACGGGAGGCAGCAGUGGGGAAUAUUGCACAAUGGGCGGAAGCCUGAUGCAGCGACGCCGCGUGAGGGAUGACGGCCUUCGGGUUGUAAACCUCUUUCAGUAGGGAAGAAGCGAAAGUGACGGUACCUGC